rnacentral:tRNA from 1 species
CAUUAGAUGACUGAAAGCAAGUAAUGGUCUCUUAAACCAACAAAUAGUAAAGUAGCGACUACUUCUAAUGG